rnacentral:rRNA from 1 species
GGGCCCGCACAAGCAGAGGAGCAUGUGGCUUAAUUCGAUGCAACGCGAAGAACCUUACCCGGGUUUGACAUGCAGCUGCGCGUCCCGUGAAAGCGGGAUUCCUUCGAGGGUGCUGCACAGGUGCUGCAUGGCUGUCGUCAGUUCGUGCCGUGAGGUGUUUGGUUAAGUCCAGCAACGAACGCAACCCCUGUGUCCAGUUGCCAUCGCGUAAUGGCGGGGACUCUGGACAGACCGCCCGUUCACGCGGGAGGAAGGUGGGGACGACGUCAAGUCAGUAUGGCCCUUACGCCCGGGGCUGCACACGUGCUACAAUGGCCGGUACAGAGGGAUGCGAGGCCGCGAGGCGGAGCCAACCCCCAAAACCGGCCCCAGUUCGGAUCGGGGUCUGCAACCCGACCCCGUGAAGUCGGAUUUGCUAGUAACGGCGCAUCAGCUACGGCGCCGUGAAUACGUUCCCGGGCCUU